UUGAAAGUCGAGCAUUUUAUUUUUCUGCAAUGCGUUGUGAUUUCGUCCCGCUUCAAGAUGCCCCAACCUCGAUUUUUUUUUCCAUCAGCCUCAUCGCUGAUGUUUUCCUCAGUGGCGCCGUCUUGUCUUCAGCCCUGAUUUAAUUUGGUACCGAACUACAGAGUGUUCAGUGUUUCACCUCCAGGUAGACGCCAAGGCCAGCGAGGUAACUUGUCUCCUGAUCAGUUAUUUGCCUAGAGCUA